rnacentral:rRNA from 1 species
AACGAACGCUGGCGGCAUGCCUAACACAUGCAAGUCGAACGAGACCUUCGGGCUUAGUGGCGCACGGGUGCGUAACGCGUGGGAACCUGCCCUUGGGUUCGGAAUAACUCCCCGAAAGGGGUGCUAAUACCGGAUAAUGUCUUCGGACCAAAGAUUGAUCGCCUUUGGAUGGGCCUGCGUUGGAUUAGCUAGUUGGUAGGGUAAAAGCCUACCAAGGCGACGAUACAUAGCUGGCCUGUGAGGAUGGUCAGCCACACUGGGACUGAGACACGGCCCAGACUCCUACGAGAGGCAGCAGUGGGGAAUAUUGGACAGUGGGCGGAAGCCUGAUCCAGCUAUGCCGCGUGAGUGAUGAAGGCCUUAGGGUUGUAAAGCUCUUUUACCCGGGAUGAUAAUGACAGUACCGGGAGAAUAAGCUCCGGCUAACUCCGUG